rnacentral:rRNA from 1 species
AUACGGAGGUUGCUAACGUUGUUCGGAAUUACUGGGCGUAAAGCGCGUGUAGGCGGCUUAGCAAGUCAGAUGUGAAAGCCCUCGGCUCAACCGAGGAAGUGCAUUUGAAACUGCUAGGAUAGAGUACGGGAGAGGGUUGUAGAAUUCCAGGUGUAGAGGUGAAAUUCGUAGAUAUCUGGAGGAAUACCGGUGGCGAAGGCGGCAACCUGGACCGAUACUGACGCUGAGACGCGAAAGCGUGGGGAGCAAACAGGAUUAGAAACCCCUGUAGUCC